GCUGAUUUGGUUUAGUGGUUAAGACUCCAGUCUAGAAACCAGGAGACUAUGAGUUCUAGUCCCAUUUUAGGCA
rnacentral:tRNA from 1 species